UCACUCUGGGCCUAUAGAAUCGAAAUCCUUUGGGCUAAAGCUUGAAACUACUCAUUUUAAACAAACUCUCAUGUAAACUCUGAUCCAAACCCAGCUUAAAAUCUUUGCUUUAUGAGGUCAGGUCCAGGGUUGGAUUUUGAUAAGGAAAAUCAUUCAGAUGGCCUCCAAAAAAACCUCUACGACAAAGUUGAGAAUAUUACCAAGAGCUGCCACAUACCUAAAGAAACAAAUAUUAUGAGGUCACACUCAAGAAAUUCCACGUUGCUAAGUUUGUAAGAUGUUCUUCACAACACCUGACACUGAGUGAGAGGGUGACUCGGAAGACGCAUUCUUCACAGAAUGAGCUGCUAGCACCACGUCCCACGCUCUCCUACUUCCUCUGUCUCGAUUCUUUCUUUCUUUAAAAUUAGAUGUUGACUUGCAAUGGGUUUAGAAGCCAUUUACUUGAAUCCCUUCAUUUUCACAUUAGAAUUUUGAUAUUUUAAGCUUAAUUAUAUCAUUGUAGAAAACAUGGAAAGUACAGACAAAGGUGUGUAGGUCAUGUUAAAACCAUUCUGGGGAAGACAGCUAUGAAGGGUAUGCAAUUAUUCUCCUGAGCUUCCUGCAAAACUCCUUUAUGAAAUUUAAAGAAAAAGAUGUCCAACUUGAUGCCUGCCUUCCUUGAUCCAAGCAGUUUUUUGAUCCCACCAGCUCAGUACUUCUUAGAGAUCAGUACAUUUCUCACCUUGGCAUUUCCAGGGCAUUUGUUUGUGUAUAGCUCCAUCUCUCCUGAUGCAGUAUGAACUUCCUCAAGGCAAAGAUCCAACUCCUA
rnacentral:lncRNA from 1 species